rnacentral:rRNA from 1 species
UUCUCAGGAUGAACGCUGGCGGCGUGCUUAACACAUGCAAGUCGAACGAACCUUCGGGUUAGUGGCGGACGGGUGAGUAACGCGUGAGAAUCUGCCCUCAGGAGGGGGACAACAGCUGGAAACGGCUGCUAAUACCCCAUAUGCCGCGAGGUGAAAUGAAUUUCGCCUGAGGAUGAGCUCGCGUCUGAUUAGCUAGUUGGUGUAGGUAAUGGCUCACCAAGGCAUCGAUCAGUAGCUGGUCUGAGAGGAUGAUCAGCCACACUGGGACUGAGACACGGCCCAGACUCCUACGGGAGGCAGCAGUGGGGAAUUUUCCGCAAUGGGCGAAAGCCUGACGGAGCAACGCCGCGUGAGGGAUGAAGGCCUCUGGGCUGUAAACCUCUUUUAUCAAGGAAGAAGAUCUGACGGUACUUGAUGAAUAAGCCACGGCUAAUUCCGUG